CCAACGCCCGAGGUAGACCUCCGCCGCCUCUCUGUUCCCCUCUCGCCAUUUCCCUUCUCCUGGCCACCCCAGACGACGGAGCACUAGCGGGAUCAUCCACGCUGGAGCAAUGGCGAGCUAGCCCAGCGUAGGGGCCAAGCGGGCCAAGGGCAGGGAUGGCCGGAGCUGCAACCGUCGUCCAACGCGGGCGAUGGUCAAUACCGGCGGGAGGAGCGGGGCACGAGCUGAUGGUCGCCUUCGCGAGGUGCUGCUGCAGGUCUGCAUUGGGAUCUACUGCCGGCGACCUCCUGGACCACCGCCGCGAGCUGCCGCUGCCGGUGACGAUCGCGACUUACUGCUGUGCCGGCCACCAUUCCGUGUCACAACAGGAUGCAUCUCCCGUUAUAAGAGCACCAAAAAUGGACACACUGAAGACCCCUCUUGCUACCGAACGUGCCACGCUUGAUGAUGUCUCUAUGUGGGAGUGGUCUGUUCAGCAUAUGAUGAAGGAGGUGAAGCAGCUGAAUGGUUAUCCGCCUAUUCGGGGAAGCCAACUUGCCUCGUGCGGUUUACCGGUGCACACUGUUAAUGAAGAAAAAGGAGAAUUUGGCACCGACCAACUAAAACUAUGCUGAAAUUUUGGCUCCGGUGAAAUGAUCCGUCCAAGCCACAGGAACAGAACAGAAGGUGUACUUUGGGAAAAAUUUA